GCUUGCUCCUGGAUUCAGCGGCGGACGGGUGAGUAAUGCCUAGGAAUCUGCCUGGUAGUGGGGGAUAACGUCCGGAAACGGGCGCUAAUACCGCAUACGUCCUGAGGGAGAAAGUGGGGGAUCUUCGGACCUCACGCUAUCAGAUGAGCCUAGGUCGGAUUAGCUAGUUGGUGGGGUAAAGGCCUACCAAGGCGACGAUCCGUAACUGGUCUGAGAGGAUGAUCAGUCACACUGGAACUGAGACACGGUCCAGACUCCUACGGGAGGCAGCAGUGGGGAAUAUUGGACAAUGGGCGAAAGCCUGAUCCAGCCAUGCCGCGUGUGUGAAGAAGGUCUUCGGAUUGUAAAGCACUUUAAGUUGGGAGGAAGGGCAGUAAGUUAAUACCUUGCUGUUUUGACGUUACCAACAGAAUAAGCACCGGCUAACUUCGUGCCAGCAGCCGCGGUAAUACGAAGGGUGCAAGCGUUAAUCGGAAUUACUGGGCGUAAAGCGCGCGUAGGUGGUUCAGCAAGUUGGAUGUGAAAUCCCCGGGCUCAACCUGGGAACUGCAUCCAAAACUACUGAGCUAGAGUACGGUAGAGGGUGGUGGAAUUUCCUGUGUAGCGGUGAAAUGCGUAGAUAUAGGAAGGAACACCAGUGGCGAAGGA
rnacentral:rRNA from 1 species